rnacentral:rRNA from 1 species
CCUACGGGAGGCAGCAGUAGGGAAUAUUGCUCAAUGGGGGAAACCCUGAAGCAGCAACGCCGCGUGGAGGAUGAAGGUUUUCGGAUUGUAAACUCCUUUUGUUAGAGAAGAUAAUGACGGUAUCUAACGAAUAAGCACCGACUAACUCCGUGCCAGCAGCCGCGGUAAUACGGAGGGUGCAAGCGUUACUCGGAAUCACUGGGCGUAAAGAGCGCGUAGGCGGGAUAGCAAGUCAGAUGUGAAAUCCUAUGGCUUAACCAUAGAACUGCAUUUGAAACUGUUAUUCUAGAGUAUGGGAGGGGGAGGUGGAAUUCUUGGUGUAGGGUUAAAAUCGGUAGAGAUCAAGAGGAAUAGUCAUUGCGAAGGCGACCUGCUGGACCGCGAGUGACGUUGAGGCUCGAAAGCGUGGGGAGCGAACAGGAUUAGAUACCCCUGUAGUC